CACGACGACUCGGAGGUGUUCCGUGUCCCCGAGCCGGUGUUCCGUGUCCUCGAGCCGGCGACGACUCUGGAGGUGUUCCGUGUCCCCGAGCCGGUGUUCCGUGUCCUCGAGCCGGCGACGACUCUGGAGGUGUUCCGUGUCCCCGAGCCGGAGGUUUCCCAUGUCCCCCAGCCAGAGACUCCGGAGGUUUCCCAGCCAUUCCAUAGACGUUCAGUGCCCUGCAGUCCUGCAGCCCUCCCGGCCAACAGACCGCCCGCCAGGCCGACCCCCAGAAGCUCCCCCGCCGUCUGGCCGCCCGCCAGAGUUUCCCGUGCGGUCCGACCAAUGUCUCUGGUUUCCCUCCCUCCUGCCCCUUGUCUGCGCUCUACCAGUCUGGGGCCGUCUGGAAUUCGGCCCUUGGGGGGGGGGGGGGGUACUGUCACGGUGUGGUUUUAUUUCCUGUCUAUCUUUGUAGUUUCUGCUUCUUGUCUCCCCGGGUAACUUCACUUCCUGCCUUGUCCUGUCGUCCCCUAUGAUUGUCGAAAUGUUUCCACCUGUGUCCAAUCACCAGCACCUCCCUAGUGUAUUUAAGCCGUGUGUGUCUCUUGUCGUGUCAUUGUCUUUUGUCCUGGAUGUUUCUGGUUCCUGCCUACCUUUUCCCCUGGUUCCUGUUUGCGUUUUUUCCCCUUGGCCUUUUGCUUUUGAACAUUUGGACUAAUAAAGUCUUCUUUUGUUGCUCGAAGUCUGCGUGUGAGUCCUGCCUCUCCCCG
ensembl:lncRNA